CUUGGUGUAGGUGGGAAGAUGGCAAGUUCAUCCACAAGCAACACCGUGGCAUAUUGUUGAAAUUGUGGCCACAAAUGUGAAAUGUACACAUCUAGAAGUGAACAAAACCCAAACAUGAUGUAUUAUAAGUACAAAUUAUGUAAUUUAUGGAAUGUAGGUGGGAAGAUAUGCAACUUCGGUACUCCCAAUACUGCAAUAUAUUGGGGCCAAUGACAUCUAACUUCGAGUCAUUGAUCAAGGUAUUAGAGAACCAAUAACAUAUGACUGCCCAAGAGAAUUCUAAGAAGCG
rnacentral:lncRNA from 1 species